GCAAACUUGGUCAUUUAGAGGAAGUAAAAGUCGUAACAAGGUUUCCGUAGGUGAACCUGCGGAAGGAUCAUUAUUGAAUAAUAAACCUGGCUGGUUGUUGCUGGCUCUUCGGAGCAUUGUGCACACUUGGCCUUGCUUUAUCUUCAUCCACCUGUGCACACUCUGUAGUCUCGGGAAUUUUCGAUGGAUCUCCGUCGGAGGAGGAUCUGCUUGUGCUGUUCUCUUCGCCUUGAGACUAUGUGUCUUUCUAUACACCAUGUAGUCUGUCACAGAAUGCAAUCAUUGGGCUUUUGUGCCUAUAUAAACUCUAUACAACUUUCAGCAACGGAUCUCUUGGCUCUCGCAUCGAUGAAGAACGCAGC
rnacentral:misc_RNA from 1 species